AGGAAGUAAAAGUCGUAACAAGGUCUCCGUUGGUGAACCAGCGGAGGGAUCAUUACCGAGUUUACAACUCCCAAACCCCUGUGAACAUACCUUACUGUUGCCUCGGCGGAUCAGCCCGCUCCCGGUAAAACGGGACGGCCCGCCAGAGGACCCCUAAACUCUGUUUCUAUAUGUAACUUCUGAGUAAAACCAUAAAUAAAUCAAAACUUUCAACAACGGAUCUCUUGGUUCUGGCAUCGAUGAAGAACGCAGCAAAAUGCGAUAAGUAAUGUGAAUUGCAGAAUUCAGUGAAUCAUCGAAUCUUUGAACGCACAUUGCGCCCGCCAGUAUUCUGGCGGGCAUGCCUGUUCGAGCGUCAUUUCAACCCUCAAGCCCUCGGGUUUGGUGUUGGGGAUCGGCGAGCCUUUCUGGCAAGCCGGCCCCGAAAUCUAGUGGCGGUCUCGCUGCAGCCUCCAUUGCGUAGUAGUAAAACCCUCGCAACUGGAACGCGGCGCGGCCAAGCCGUUAAACCCCCAACUUCUGAAUGUUGACCUCGGAUCAGGUAGGAAUACCCGCUGAACUUAAGCAUA
rnacentral:rRNA from 1 species